CUGAUGGCUGCUAUGUGUCUGACACUGUGCCAUGAUCUGUAGGAGAAACAAGUGAACAGGGGACAAUCUCAGCCUUUAGGAACACAGGGGAGCACUCAAGGCCAAAUAAAAUCAGUGCCCUCGUGGAGCUUCUCGCAGGGUGUUUGGGAGCAGAGGAUGGAGCACCAACUACUAGUUCUGCUCAGUAACACCCUCCAUUUG
rnacentral:lncRNA from 10 species